UACGUAGGGGGCUAGCGUUAUCCGGAAUUACUGGGCGUAAAGGGCUCGUAGGCGGUCUGUUGCGUCAGGAGUGAAAACUCGGGGCUUAACCCCGAGCCUGCUUCUGAUACGGGCAGACUAGAGGUAUGCAGGGGAGAACGGAAUUCCUGGUGUAGCGGUGAAAUGCGCAGAUAUCAGGAGGAACACCGGUGGCGAAGGCGGUUCUCUGGGCAUUACCUGACGCUGAGGAGCGAAAGCCAGGGGAGCAAACGGG
rnacentral:rRNA from 1 species